rnacentral:tRNA from 1 species
GUUCUCAUAGUUUAAUGGAUAGAAUGACCCCCUCCUAAGGGGUAGGUGCUGGUUCGAUUCCAGCUGGGAAUA